ensembl:snRNA U6 U6 spliceosomal RNA
GUGCUUGCUUCGGCAGCACAUAUACUAAAAUUGGAACAAUAUAGAGAAGAUUAGCGUGGCCCCUGCACAAGGAUGACAUGCAAAUUCGUGAAGUGUUCCAUAUUUUU